rnacentral:rRNA from 1 species
GAUGUAUAGCGAAAGCUAAUUAUUUCGGAGAAUUUCUGAAAUAAUAUCGAUUUACUCGAAUAAAAUUCUGUGUGGAAAUUUGAUAAUGACAUGUUCUGCAUAUAAGUCUUGACCAAAUUACGUGCCAGCAGUCGCGGUAAUACGUAUAAGACUAGUGUUAUUCAUCUUUAAUUGGUUUAAAGGGUACCUAGACGGUAAAAUAAGCCUUAUUUUAAGGGACUAAUUUACUAGAGUUACUUAUGAGGGGGCUAUUAGGUACUAGUGGUGGAGAGAUGAAAUUCUUUGAUACCUUGCUUUGUAAAAAGUGAACAUGGCACAGAUUAAGGCGUAAGCAUCUCCUUAUGUGAUAACUGACGUUGAGGGACGAAGGCUUCGUAUAACAAAAAGGAUUAGGUACCCUCGUAGUUGAAGGCAGACAAUGAUGAGUGUCAUAGGGUAGAUAUAUAUUUACCGUAUAAAUGAUAGUGUAAGCACUCCACCUCAAGAGUAAUUUGGCAACAUUGGAACUGAAAUCAUUAGACCGUUUCUGAAACCAGUAGUGAAGUAUGUUGUUUAAUUUGAUGAUCCGCAAAAAACCUUACCAAAACUAGUUCAAAUCUGAAAUUUGGGCAGGUGCACUAUUCACUUUGAAUAUUUAUAUCUUUAUAGAUAUAAUUACAAGAGCUGCACGGCUGUCUUCAGCUAAUGUCGUGAGAUUUUGGUUAGUUCCAUUAAAUUAGCGUAAGCCCUUACUUUAUUUUUAAAUAAAGUAGUUCUCCAUUAUAUAGGAUAAGAUAACAGGGACUAAGACAAGUCAUCAUGGCCAUAAAUGUAGUGGG